UACGUAGGGCGCAAGCGUUGUCCGGAAUCAUUGGGCGUAAAGAGCUCGUAGGUGGUCUGUUACGUCUGCUGUGAAAUCCUAGGGCUUAACCCUGGGCCUGCAGUGGAUACGGGCAGACUAGAGGUAGGCAGGGGAGAAUGGAAUUCCCGGUGUAGCGGUGAAAUGCGCAGAUAUCGGGAGGAACACCGGUGGCGAAGGCGGUUCUCUGGGCCUUACCUGACACUGAGGAGCGAAAGCGUGGGGAGCGAACAGG
rnacentral:rRNA from 1 species